GGCAAGAUGGCCGAGCGGUUAAGGCGUGUGACUCAAGUUCUCAUGGGCGAAUGUCCGCGUGGGUUCAAAUCCCACUCUUGUCA
rnacentral:tRNA from 1 species